AUGGUGGUGAAGUAUAGCAGUUUUACUCACCUUGCAGCUCUUGUUGGAUGCUGUCAGGCUCUAAUAUGAACAUUACCUAAACAUCAUUUGACAAAGGAUGAUUAAACUCUAUCUCACUUAUGGCCUUCGAACAAAUUGAAAAGACCGUUAUGAAGACAUGGGAAGAGUAACACAGCUAAGGUGUGGCAAUCCACUCUGGCGUGCCAAUAAUAAAGGGAAGAUAAAGCUGAUCGUCGGAGCCACCGGUUCGCCUGAACCAGUCCGAACUGGAAGAAUCCCACCCCUGUAUGUAGACUCAACAAGGAGAUUACAGUGUUAAUUUCUGAGUGGAAAAGUAGCAAAUAAAGUGGUAUUUAAUCCUU